rnacentral:tRNA from 1 species
GGUGGCGCAGUGGUAGAGCGCUUGCCUUGCAAGCAUGAGACCCUGGGUUCGAUUCCUCAGCACCA